rnacentral:sRNA from 1 species
CACAUCAUCAAGUACAAGGGCUGCUGCGAGGACCAAGGUGGGCGGGACCGGGCGAGUCCUAGAGACUCGAGGGGGCGUGGCUAGAGCGUGGGUGUGGCAUUGUGGGCGGGGCCAGUCUGGCCUAGCCAAUUAGAGACUCUCAACCCCAGGCUGCAGUACGCGGUUCUUGGCAUCUGGGUGAGCGUGGCUGGGCUGCCUCCUUCCCAUCUGGGGGGUGCUACCUGCUGGGGCCAGGAUGGACGGGAGCCACCAGCAGCCCCCUCAAGUGAGAAUGGGGUUCUGGAUGGGUCCAUCCCACCUGAGAAUUGGGUCUAGUGUGCGCGGGUCUUGGCCUUCCCUCCCGACCUUGGAGGGGCUCUGCUGGGCUCAAGGUGGGCGGUCCCCGGCCCGCCCUCUAUCGUCCCCCACCGGGGCCGCCCCUCUCCGCGGCAGGCGAGAAGUCGCUGCAGCUGGUCAUGGAGUACGUGCCCCUGGGCAGCCUCCGAGACUACCUGCCCCGGCACAGCGUCGGGCUGGCCCAGCUGCUGCUCUUCGCCCAGCAGAUCUGCGAGGGCAUGGCCUAUCUGCACGCUCAGCACUACAUCCACCGAGACCUAGCCGCGCGCAACGUGCUGCUGGACAACGACAGGCUGGUCAAGAUCGGGGACUUUGGCCUAGCCAAGGCCGUGCCCGAAGGCCACGAGUACUACCGCGUGCGCGAGGAUGGGGACAGCCCCGUGUUCUGGUAUGCCCCAGAGUGCCUGAAGGAGUAUAAGUUCUACUAUGCGUCAGAUGUCUGGUCCUUCGGGGUGACCCUGUAUGAGCUGCUGACGCACUGUGACUCCAGCCAGAGCCCCCCCACG